rnacentral:lncRNA from 13 species
AUGACAAAGCAUUUUUUGAGAGCGAUUGUGGCUGGUAUGUGGCUGAGACACAAUAGCACUGCCACGUUCCCCUCUGCCUCAACACCAGCCCGGUGUUGCAUCAGGGAGAACAGAGAGCUGGCAUUCCCCCUUCACACAGCUCUGAGAAAAAUAACAAAAACAGAAAAGGGAGAGAGGGGACACGAGAGAGAGAAAGAGGGAAUAAGAGAGGUGAAGUGCAGGGAACAAAAUAAGAGAACUGGAAACACCGGUACCCUGAAGGUGAAAAUGUUUCAACUUAUUUUUUCUUCAUGGCAUUGAAGAUCCAUGCAGUCAAGCCAACUCACAAGGGUUCAUGAAUAAGGGCAGGGAUUCAUAUACUAGUAGUAUACUACACCUAGCAUUUAGAACUCUGUCUAACACAGUGGAUGCAAAUGGAAUCACAUUUCAUUAAGGGUUGGCUCUCUAUCUCCAUCUCCUUGGCCCACUUCCUAAGGCAGGGGUAGGCAACUCGAUUCUGCCACUGGAUGAUUUUUAUCGGAUCGGAUGGUCGGGAGCAUAAUAAUAAUCAUUUGUACACUGUGAAUUGACCACAACUAAGUCCCAAAAUAAAUGUUAAAAUAACAUACAUUUCAUACCUUGAUUACAUUAAACCCCGAUCACGUAUGUCUCUUUUUUUUUUAUUCGUGGGAAUACUUUGGAACAGAUUUACUAAAUUAAACUCAUUUUCUGAUGAAUUCCUGGUGAUUCUACUUUUUUUAAAAUCCAAAACUCAUAAAAAAAUCACUUGUGGACCAGGUCCCUUAGAGAAUAUAUGUAGCAGCAGACACAAUUCUGUAUCAACAUGUAGGACAGGACUUGCGCUAAAGCAAAUAGGGAUUAUUACCAUUUGCGAGGAAUGUUCCCUUUGGGAGUCAAAGUAAUUGUUCGCCUCAUCAAAAUACAUCAUUUGCUCAUGCUGUCACACAUGCUAACCUGCUGACUAAGCCCCCAGAGCUGAUACAGAGGGCUAAAUAUUAUGCCGCUUCAAAAUAUCUGUGAAACAACUGGCAAUAUGCAUUUUGGUGGCCAAUUCCCUCUGCCUGAGAUUUGGUAAUGAUUUGCCCUGUAAGGUUCUCUUAAAAUCAGCCAAAAACUCCCUGUAUUUUCUACACCUGAGAGGGAAGAGUGACCGAGUGAGAGAGAGAGUGUGAGAGGAAUGAGAGAAUCUACAGGGAGACAUACAUUUGAAAACAGCUUAAGAAAAAUCACACAAGACAAAGUAGUCUUCCAGUACGAGAAGCCUAACCCCAGUCCUGAAACAAAUGGCACCCGAAAAUGUACAUUUUCAAUAAAGGAAACAUAUAAUACAGUACAGUGCAUCAUGUACUAAGAAACCACACAGAGUUGGUCAUGUGAGC